CUAGAGGAACGUUUUGGUAGUCCUCGGCUCCAGGGAAUGAAACGGACUAGCGACAAGGCUUACACAUGCGAAGUCGAGGGGCGAUCGGGGAGUAGCAAUACUCUGCCGGCGACCGGCGCACGGGUGAGUAACGCGUAUGGAACCUGCCCUGUACAGGGAAUAGCCCAUGGAAACGUGGAUUAAUGUCCCAUAUGACAUUCGGGAGGCAUCUUUCGGGUGUAAAAAUUUUCGGAGGUACAGGAUGGCCAUGCGUCCUAUUAGAUAGUUGGCGGGGUAACGGCCCACCAAGUCGAUGAUAGGUAGGGGUUCUGAGAGGAAGGUCCCCCACAUUGGAACUGAGACACGGUCCAAACUCCUACGGGAGGCAGCAGUGAGGAAUAUUGGUCAAUGGGCGCGAGCCUGAACCAGCCAAGUCGCGUGAGGGAAGACUGCCCUAUGGGUUGUAAACCUCUUUUAUUCGGGAAGAAUAAGCCUUACGAGUAGGGUGAUGCCUGUACCGAAUGAAUAGGCAUCGGCUAACUCCGUG
rnacentral:rRNA from 1 species